UGUAGGUUGAGGAAGCGAGUAGGCUCAGGAAUUGCGCUCAGGCACUUUCUCGACCGCCUAAACUGGGUCCUUCGUUCCCUCUGAGAGACUCUGGUGACCGUCCACGUGGAGAUGAUUAAGUCGAAACGAGGGUCAUCGUGAGCUCUUAAAGAGUGAAAGCAGCAGGAAAUGGCUGGUGCACCGUGUCACGUGUUAACACCAUGAGGACCGGGAGAAACGUGUGCUUUUUGAGCUCCAGGUGAGCAGACCUGCAGCAUGGACGAGGUUAUGUGACGCCUGCUGUGCAGGGUCUGUAUUCAAGGAGUGAUCCUUUCUAGCGGAGGUAACUUCCCCAGCAUUCAAAGACUAGUGACGCUGUUUUCUGCGCGUGUGAAUCUGCGCUACAUUCUUUUAUAAAUAAAACCUUCUGCUUAACA